AUUGAACGCUGGCGGCAGGCUUAACACAUGCAAGUCGAGCGGGGUGAUGGUGCUUGCACUAUCACUUAGCGGCGGACGGGUGAGUAAUGCUUAGGAAUCUGUCUAUUAGUGGGGGACAACAUCUCGAAAGGGAUGCUAAUACCGCAUACGUCCUACGGGAGAAAGCAGGGGAUCACUUGUGACCUUGCGCUAAUAGAUGAGCCUAAGUCGGGGUAGCUAGUUGGUGAGGUAAAGGCCUACCAAGGCGACGGUCUGUAGCGGGUCUGAAAGGAUGAUCCGCGGCACUGGGACUGGAAGAGGGACCAGGCGCCUACGGGAGGCAGCAGUGGGGAAUAUUGGACAAUGGGGGGACCCCUGAUCCAGCCAUGCCGCGUGUGUGAAGAAGGCCUUAUGGUUGUAAAGCACUUUAAGCGGGGAGGAGGCUCUUUUGGUUAGUACCCAAGAUGAGUGGACGUUACUCGCAGAGUAAGCACCGGCUAACUCUGUGCCAGCCGCCGCCGUAAUAC
rnacentral:rRNA from 1 species